GAGUUUGAUCCUGGCUCAGAGCGAACGCUGGCGGCAGGCCUAACACAUGCAAGUCGAACGGAUCCUUCGGGAUUAGUGGCGGACGGGUGAGUAACACGUGGGAACGUGCCCUUUGGUUCGGAACAACUCAGGGAAACUUGAGCUAAUACCGGAUGUGCCCUUCGGGGAAAGAUUUAUCGCCAUUGGAGCGGCCCGCGUCUGAUUAGCUAGUUGGUGAGGUAAAGGCUCACCAAGGCGACGAUCAGUAGCUGGUCUGAGAGGAUGAUCAGCCACAUUGGGACUGAGACACGGCCCAAACUCCUACGGGAGGCAGCAGUGGGGAAUCUUGCGCAAUGGGCGAAAGCCUGACGCAGCCAUGCCGCGUGAAUGAUGAAGGUCUUAGGAUUGUAAAAUUCUUUCACCGGGGACGAUAAUGACGGCACCCGGAGAAGAAGCCCCGGCUAACUUCGUGCCAGCCGCCGCGGUAAC
rnacentral:rRNA from 1 species